GGAGUGGAUAAUAAGGGCGAACGGUGGAUGCCUAGGCUUGGAAAGGCGACGAAGGACGUGGCUUGGCUGCGAUAAGCGUCGGUGAGGUGUCGAGCAACCUUUGACCCGGCGAUUUCCGAAUGGGGGAACCCAGCACUGUGAAAACAGUGUUAUCCCGGCGAUAUGUCGGGAGGUGCACCUGGAGAAGUGAAACAUCUCAGUACCCAGAGGAAAAGAGACCAACAUAUACCGUUGCUUUGCAACGGAAGCACGAAACUUGAAUAUCGAUAAUCGAAAUAAAUUUAAAAUUCCAGAUUCAAAUAAGCAAAACGUUUUGGAUUGAGCAUGCAUAUAUAUAUUGGAUAUUGUUUCGGAUUUCGAAUUUAGGAUUUCGGAUUUCCGCUGCAAGGCAGCGGUUGGUAUUCCCUUAGUAGCGGCGAGCGAAAAGGGAGAAGCCCAAAUCCAGCUCCACUUUCUGUAAAUAAUCAAAUAUGUUUCUGACAUAUAAUGUGCGAAGAAAUGUAUAGUGCCAAGAAGGAUUAUUGUCAGAAAGUGGGGCUGGAGGUUGUAAGGAUCGUUAAUCUUGAACCAUGCUUUGUGCGGGAUAUUUUCAUCGCACGAGGCGUGUUUCAAGGGGAGUUACAAAUGCAAAUUCUUAGCAGAAAGAUCCUGGAAAGGACAACCAUAGAAGGUGACAGUCCUGUAUGCGAAAAGGGUUUGCACUCCUUAAUGAUUUCUUGAGUAUCCCGGCACAUGAAUGGGCUGGGAGAAUCGAGCCGAACUAACGGCUAAGGCUAAAUACUUUCCAAGACCGAUAGUGAACAAGUACCGUGAGGGAAAGGUGAAAAGCAGCCCGGUGAGGGCGGUGAAAUAGAACCUGAAACCGUUUGCCUACAAGGAGUCGGAGCCCCUCGCAAUAGCAAUAUUGCUCGGGGUGACGGCGUGCCUAUUGAAGAAUGAGCCAACGACUUAUCUAAUAUCCCUUGUCUAAGGACGUUUGAGUCCGAAGGCACAGGGAAACCGAGUGUUAAUAGCGCGUUUAUGGGGGUGUUAGAUAGACCCGAAGCCAGGUGAGCUUGCCAUGGACAGGGUGAAUGCCGGUGAAAACCGGCAGGAGGCCCGAACCGGUUGGUGGUGCAAAACCAUCGGAUGAUCUGUGGUAAGGAGUGAAAAGCUAAUCGAACCUGGUAAUAGCUGGUUCUCUCCGAAAUAGCUUUACGGUUAGCGUUCAGUUUUUUCCUGGAGGUAGAGCACUGGAAGGUAUGUAUAGGGAGCAAUCUCGACAUACCUAUCAAACUCCGAAUGCCAGGCAUUACAUAACUGAAUAGUUAGACCAUGGGGGCUAAGCUCCAUCGGUCGAAAGGGAAACAGCCCAGACCGCCAUCUAAGGUCCCUAAAUCUGUCCCUUAUGGGACGCCUAGCCAUAUCACAUUGCAUGUGAUGCGGUUGGGUAUGCUAAGUGCAUUUUAAGGUAGUAAAAUUUCUUAGACAGCGAGGAGGUUGGCUUAGAAGCAGCCAUCCUUUAAAGAGUGCGUAACAGCUCACUCGUCAAGAGAUUUUGCGCCGAAAAUAAUCGGGGCUAAGCAUAGUACCGAAGAUGCGGACCGAUGCGCGGCAUCGGGAAGAUCAAAUAUCAAAGCUCAAAUGUCAAAUUUGACAUUGGGAUUUUGUCAUUUGAAUUUCCGCUGCUGCGCAGCGGUGGUAGGAGAGCAUUCUGAAUGCAGUGAAGUUUACGGCGCGAGCCGGAAUGGAGCGUUCAGAAGAGAGAAUGUUGGCACAAGUAACCGCAAUCGGGGUGAGAUCCCCCGACGCCGAAAGCCCAAGGUUUCCUUGGCAAUGGUGAUCAGCCAAGGGUUAGUCGGUCCUAAGACGAUGGCGAAAGCCGCAGUCGAUGGACACACGGUUAAUAUUCCGUGACCCUGUUAUUGCAUUCUAUGGAGUGACGGAGGAUAUAACAUAGAGCGUGUUAUUGGAUUCGCGUUCGUGCAGCUCAGAGAUGUGCUUUAGGCAAAUCCGGAGCACUGGGUUUAAAGCCCGAUUCUCGCGCUGUGCGAAAAUGCCGCGCUACGGCAAGGUAAAUUCUAUUGAAGAGCCUUCCAAGAAAAACUUCUAUGAGCUAAGCAGUAAUGGGACCGUACCGUAAUCCGACACAGGUGGGCAGGUCGAGCAGACCAAGGCGAACGAGUGAUUCCUCUCUAAGGAACUCGGCAAAAAAGCGGCCGUAACUUCGGAAUAAGGCCCGCCCUAGAUUGUCCAAUGGUGGAAAAGGAGGGAAUAAUGGAGCCCCAAGAAGAGGGCGAAAAAUCCCAAACAGAAGAAGAAUAAGAGGCGAUCAUGGCCGAAUGGCAAGAUCGCGCAAUCUUCGUCGGGGAAGAGAUCUGAUCUCUUCCCCCUACCAUUGGGCAAUCCGGGGCCGCAGCGAAAGUAUCCCUGGCGACUGUUUAUCAAAAACACAGCUCCCUGCGAACUCGUAAGAGGAUGUAUAGGGGGUGACGCCUGACCAAUGCGAGAAGGUUAAAUGCGACUGGUGCUUCGCACCGGGAAGCUCAAAUGUCAAUGCUCAAAUGUCAAAAAUUGGUCAUUUGGAUUUUGUCAUUGGGAUUUCCAGCGCGGAGCGCUGGGUUGUAUAAGCCCUCGUCAAUGUCGGCAAUAACUAUAAUUGUCCUAAGGUAGCGCAAUUCCUUGUCGGGUAAGUUCCGACGCGCACGAAUGGCGUAACGACUGGGGAACUGUCUCGGGGAGGAGCUCGGUGAAAAUGCAAUACCGGUGAAGAUGCCGGUUACCUGCAGCUAGACGGAAAGACCCUGGAAGCUUUACUAUAACUUGGUAUUGGGUUUAGGUCUUUCAUGCGUAGCGUAGUGGGGAGACGUUGAAACUCUGGUUUCGGCUGGAGUGGAGUCGCCAAUGAAACACCCAUCUUGAAAGAGUUAGAUUCUAAUCUCAGCGGCAAAAACGCGGGGAGACAGUACCUGGCGGGUAGUUUACGUGGGGCGCGUUCCUCCUAAAAGGUAACGGAGGAGUUUAUUAAGGUCGGCUAGGCGCGGAUGGAAAUCGCGCUGGUCGUGUAAUGGCAUAAGCCGGCUUGACUGUGAGACGGACAUGUCGAGCAGAUGCGAAAGCAGAACAUAGUGAUCCGACCGUUGGCAUUAGACGCCGCGGAAGCUCAACGGAUAAAAGUUACUCCAGGGAUAACAGGCUGGUCCCGCCCAAGCGUCCAUAGCGACGGCGGGGUUCGGCACCUUGAACAUCGGGGUGUCUAUGGCAGCGAUGCCAUACAAAAAAUAAAUCGGCUUAUAACGGUGGACUCCAUACGAGCCAACCAUGAAAAUAGCAUGGUAACAUAUAUGUAUGGACAAUACCGUGGGAAGUCUUACCUCAUUACAGAGAUCUGUCAUCGUUGAAUUUUUCCUUCCAUGAUAUACAAAUGAGGUAAUGACCCUGUAGAGACUUAUCCUUCAAUUUCUUGUGAAAAAGAGGAUAGAGUUAAUCAAGAAUUGAUUAGCUAAUACGCCGAUCUCCUGCUUUCAGAUCAGCAGGAUGAAGAUAUAGUCCGAUCCUACUAGCAAUAGUAGUAAAAACGACAGCGAUGUCGGCUCGUCCUAUCCUGGGGGUGAAGCAGCUCCCAAGGGUUUGGCUGUUCGCCAAUUAAAAGGGCACGUGAGCUGGGUUCAGACCGUAAAGCAUCUUUUGGCUAUGAGCUUUUAGCUUUUAGUAAAGGACGUUUUACAGUCUGAAUCCGCUUGCAGCAUUUCUUUUCGUCUAACAAAUAGGAAAAAAUGUCCAAUCAAAUCACGGCGGUCUCUCUUUUUCCAAUUCCUAAAAGCCGGAAGAAGAGAAGAAAAAGUCAGCUAUAUCGGUAAAAUCCAGCCCCACUUUUGUCAAUUAGGCAUUAGUGAGGGACAAACCAAUUUUUGAGUUUCAUUACAUUUAGAAAUAUCAAUAAUACAGCGAAAUUCAAAAGUGGAGACGGACAAUACCGAGGGAACCAUCUGCUCCGGGCGGAUGGCCCCGUAGAGGCUACACGCUGACCUCUUGCUAUUUGCGAGAGAAGAUAUAGUCCAAUGCACUUAGUAAUAAGUGAUAACAUGCGUGAGACAGGUUGGUCCCCUAUCUGCUGCAGGCGUUUUGAUUCUUGAGGGGAGUCUUCCCCAGUACGAGAGGACCGGGAAGAACUGACCUCUGGUCUACCAGCUCUGGCGCCAGCUGGAGCGCUGGGUAGCUAUGUCGGGAACGGAUAACCGCUGAAAGCAUCUAAGCGGGAAGCCGGCCCCAAGAUUAGGAAUCUUAAGAUCCCUCGAAGACUACGAGGUUGAUAGGCUCUAGGUGUAAGAUCCGCAAGGAUUUCAGCCGAGGAGUACUAAUGAUCGUAUCCACUCCGA
rfam:Candidatus Ryanbacteria bacterium RIFCSPHIGHO2_01_45_13 rifcsphigho2_01_sub10_scaffold_132, whole genome shotgun sequence.